ACUCUCAUCACAAAUCUGAGGUUCCUUAACGAUUGUUUUUAAAGAGCCUCAUAAAUUGUCUACUAACUCAAUACCUGCCUGACUCUGCACCUCAGCAGAACUGCCUGAGCUGAGCUGUUGCUUUUCAAGCUUCAUUUUUCAGUAUUAGUUUAAUGAAGAGGCUCACGUGGCUUUAGCUGGAGCAAACACUAGACACGGUGAGAGUGCUUGUAGAGAACAGUUCAUUUCCAAGUGUAUCGCUUGGAGUUAUCCUGCCCUGGUAGUCAUCAGUGACAAAGCCAUGCCAGACAAUGAAUUUAACAUUCUUGCAUGCCAGCCUUUUCCAGAACCAAUAUAUGGGAAGCAUGCCUGUGUGGGAUGGAUAUGGGUGUGGUGUAACAGUGAAAGAGCUACUCCCAGCCAUUUGGCAUGAGUGCUUGGGGAUUCAUUUUCUUAGGUCAAACAAAAGUGUUUAUAGCAGAUGCAAAUAUGCUAAACACUUCUUUUGUUCUAUGUAUACUGUGUAGUCUAAAGCCUGAAAACAGUGUCUUCUAGUCUGUGCUUCAUUCUUUCAGGGUAAGAUCAACAGAAAGCUUAUGAAGAUUCAUGUUGUUUCCAGCCCUCCCAUAGUACUUAAGGGCUUGAUGAGGCCUGUUACUGGUGUACUUGAAGCCUUGAGGGGUUUGACUUUUGUUUUUACUUUGGUCUGGGACAUACCUGUUAAAUUUGGAUGUUUUCUUUCCAUUCUGGGGACAGGGAGAAACAAGAAACUCAGAACCAGGGUGUUUCCUUUGGGAUCACUCUGAGAAAAGGAAGUGGCUUUACUACCAACGUUAAUCUCUAGAGCUUUAUGAUUCAGGCCUGCGUUUCCUGCUGCUCAUACCAUAUUGUACCUUUCUGUGUGUUCACUGUCAGGGUCUUGGUUGUCCAGAUCCCCAGGAUAUUCAGAUAUCUUCUUGAGAUGUGGUAGAUGUCGUGUACUACUUCAGGUCUGAAGGCAUGCCCUUAACUUGUCAGGGCAGAAACACUGUCUUCAAAGCUGAAAACCAAAACUCUUCAGAAACUGGCACCUUUUGUUUUUUCCUAAUCCAUGUGCAAGUGGAAUUUUCAGUGCACAAUGAGCAAACCUCAAAUUUAAGAAAUGAACUUAAACACUUUAUAUGAACAUUUCACUUAUUUAAUGAAACUAAACAUGAAGCUCGUUUGUCAGUUUUGAGACCUCUCAUGCUGGUGACUGGUUUUUUCUGUUGUUGGGAUCUGCCUUUUCUUGCUUAUUCCUGCCUUAUCAGGCUCCUCAUGCCUUUGCUGGUUUUUAUGGAUUUUCCAAGCUGUUGUCUGACUCAUUAUUGAAACACUACAGCAACCACUGUGCAUCCCGUGACAGCAUCACAUACAAUGUCUGUGCUGGGUAGAAGUUUGGGUGUAGCCAGUGGGACUUGACGAGUCUUCCAAACUAUUUCUGUCCCCCAGCAGUAGUAGGAAAAAAACCCUCUGGCAGCAGCAUAUUGUUUGUCCACUGCAAAGUUAAAAAUUGGCAACUCUUGUAUCUGCUGCAAAUCUGGAUUUUUAAAGGAUUUUUGGGAAGGGGGGUAUUUAGGGCAGCUGCUCUAAACUGAAAGGAACUGCACUUGAUUUGAAAGUCAGGUUUGUCAGCAGCCGGCAUAAGAGGUGUAUAAAACUCAGUGACAAAGCCCCUGCAAUAUUGUUGGUCUCAUUGUCAUCAAGAAAAGUAAAUUAGAAGAUAUAAAAGGAUUUAUAGGUGAAAUGUCAAGGUGGUUUUGGCAGCUAUAGGGGAGGAAGGGACUCUGAUGCCUGAAGGUCAUGUAAGACUGUGUUAAGUGGUUUAUUUGGUAUCAUACCUAUUAAAGAGGUGGUUCUGUAUCACAACUUACCACACUGAAGGAGGCAAGUUGUCUGCUUGCUUCGGAGUAGCCUUUCACCUACUCUGGUAGGAGAACUUGGGACAGCUUAAAGGGAGUAACAAGUGAUGUGAUAAAACUUGUGUAUGUGUCUUAGCUUGUAAUAGACCAAAUGAAAUUUUCUUUUGAACAUGGGGGGGUAAGUACUGUCAUUUAUAGAGAAACUACAGGUUGAGAAAGAUCCCCAUUAACAAUGAUAUCCACUGUCAGUUCAGCUACUCCAAAUGUCAGCAGCGCUCUUCUUCAGUAGCAUUGACUGUCACCUCUUGGAAAUGUGGCAGCUCUUCCCGAGAAUGAAACUUCAAUCUGGUUAUUCUUUACCACAGUGUCUGCAAGGGCAUCGCACACAGCAUGUUCUGAUCAGCAUUUGCAGUUGUACACGUUUUAGUUGUAAGUGCUCUUGGUACUUCUUGUAGCAGAUAAUUUGCCAUUCAUAGGUAGAUCAGGUCUGUCAGAAAUCACAGAAGGUAACAAAAAUGAGCAAAGCUGAACAUCAUGCAGUGAGGUGUUAAUCAUACCUAUGUAGUAGCAAAUGUUGCAGAAAUCUGCUGUUUACUUUGCUUCAUCCACACUAUUAAUACUGUGAGCCUGAGAUUGUUUGGGCUGUAGGUAAUUUCAGUGUGGAUUGACUGAUGCCUGUCUGUCUGUCUGCAGUACUUAUCCCUCUUCAUCAUUUAUGUGCCAACCACCAGUAGCACUUCAGCUGUGGAAAUAAGGUCCACGGUUGCUCAACACCUUGAGAGGUUAAAUAGUUAUAACUGUGCAGGGAAGUUCUCAUAAAACUUCCAGAAAUAAAUAAUUUAGUGUUCUCCUGUAGCUCCCAAAAUGCACUGAGCGACUUUUCAAGCUUAAAUAAAAUAGGUAAGAGAUCUACCUGGUGAAAACCCAUUUCAGAAACAACAGAGUAUUGUAGCGGGGGGGAAAAUACAAGGAACUACUGCUCUUUCGUGGAAGUAGAUACACACUUUAAUGUUUUCAGUUCAUUGUUUCUCCUUCAGUUUGUUCUUCAACAUUGUCUCUCUUGCUUGUUGUGCCUUAUUGUCACUUAGGCAGUUAUUCUUCCAGAACCUAUUUCAUGCAAGGGUAGUUUAAGGUCUACUGUAACUUUUAAAAUGCACAGUGUGAAUAAGUAACCUUUCCCUUUGUAACUAGUUAUCAGUCACACGCAAUCUGCCUUCAGGGAUUUGUAUUUAACUGGGUUAUUUCUUAGUCAAAACCUUGGGAGUGGAGGGUAGACACCACUUGGCUCUAAUUGGGAUCCUAUACCCACUGCUGGUGGAGCUGGUAGGAGAGUUGGUGCUGGCUCUGGGCAUGUGACUUCAUGGGGUGGAGAACCUAUCUAGGUGUGUGAUUUAUCUCAUUGCUGAUAAAACAAGGAAUCUUAAUCAGUUUGUCUCAAUUCUGGUAUGUUGAUAAAUAUUAGGUGCUGUAAUUUACAACUUGCGUAGCACAACAGAUUGCACUUUGUUACCAUUUUAGCCUUUCUUCUAUAUGUGAUGUGGAAUGAAUUCAGUCACAGAUACAUCCUUAUGAUAUUCUUUCAUCAGUGAUUCAUUGCUAACUCAGGUAAGGCUCUCAAGAUACUGAAAGUUCAGUGGGAUAUAUGGAGUGUCUCACAGAGUUAUUUGUGGUGGCAUGCAGGGGCAAUUCCUGCUGGCACCCAUGUGCCUGCCAGGUGCUUCUGUGUGUGAAGGUUAUCUGUAGCUGAUGCAAUGUUUGAAAGUAUUCAUCUUUUCAUUUUUAGGACAGGGUGAUGCUUUUGGGCUCUGGCCAUGGGCAGCUUAGUUUGCCAGCUAGCCAGAACUUCCCCACGUAAUGCUAUUUAUGUUAAACAGGGUUUGUUCUGAACUUUAACCGUUUAAACUGUUUAGUUUAUAUUUGCUCUGCGCUAGAUACGACAUCUGGAUCUGACUUACAAAAGCAUGUGGUGAAAGGCACAUGUUACUAGUGUUGGCACUGACUGCCUGCUCCCUGGGCAGUUAACCUCCUGUGGUGGCAGUCAAAACAACUUCACAUUUGCAUUUCAACUGGUAUUUUAUCCCAGAUGCUUUUAGCAUUUUGAAGUAAAUCUUUACAAGUUUCAGUGCUGGUAUCUGCACUUGCACAGUUUUGGUGCUGCAGCAUCAGCCACUUUGUGCCUUGUCUUUGAAACUUCCUUACAACUGUGUCUCGCUGAGACAUCUUGAUACACCAAAUCUUUGAGAAAGUAGAAAGAGCCAGUUUUCGGACUGACACAUGCAGCAAGUAUUUAAUCUGGCAGUAGUAUUUGUGUCUUUUCCAGGAGUGGAGUGUUAACUCUCAAAGGAUUCUGAAAGGUCUCCGUGAUACAGUUAAAUACUUGAGAAGAUUUCUGCUUUUGAAGUAAUUUAUUGUGAAAUUUCCAGUUGCUUUAUUUACAGCGGUGGUUCAUCUCACUGCAGGCGUUCCACUGGGUCACAUGGACACGCGUGUAAAUCCUGCAUGGGCUUGAAUAGGCAAUAUCCAAAGAAAUGGUCUUCCUAUAAAACUUUCUGAUGUACUAAAUAGCUUAGAAAAAAGCCAGGGUUGUACAGUGCAAUUUCAGCAGUUCUCCUCAGCCAUGCAGUUUGUCUUAAGUGUCCUGUGGUUCCUAGCCUGUAAGAAGGUCAUUUAUCUUAAAUUAGAUGAACCGACCUAUCAUCUGUAGGGGAUAAAGCUUAUAAGAAAAAGAGGGGAAACGUAACCAACCCCAAACUUUUGCAAAGAACCCCACAUUGCCCAUUUUGGGCAAGGACAAGAAAUAGAUGCCAGUGAUGGUAUGUGAGUUAGUGACCUGAUGGGGUGCAGUGGAGGUGUUACAGUGGAAGCAACUCCAGGGCCUGCUCCUGAAUGCAGUUUGCUUCUGUGUCAAGAUGGACAAGGAAUGCACAUGACUGUCUUGCUGCUUCUUAACCAGACUGUUCUCGUAAGAGUGGUACAGAGCUAAGUCAGAGGACCCACUCGUGGACCAUCCAGAGGGUGAUUGUUGUGGAAGGCCCUAUCAGAAUGUACAUAAAGCUGUUUAUAGCUUGCAAAAAGCAGACAGGAAAGCAGACAAACAAAGCCAUUUCACGGCUCAAGAUAGAGUAUGAAGUGUGCUGCCAUGAGUGCAGAUUCAGAUUGCCUGCCUGGAGUAAGAAGUGAGCAAAGAAAAGCAGGUGGCAUACUCUUAUCUUUGCUUGAAAAAUGGAAAGAGGUUUUGAUAAUUAACCUUACCAGGUGCUUGCUAAGGCUGCUUUCUUGUACUCUAUACUAGUGCUGUAGUAUAGUUGCUGUUUAAAUAUUCUAGUUGCUGUUUAAAUAUUUCCCAAGAAGACUAAUGUGCACAUGGCUUACUGAUCGCUUGAGGGAACUCCGUAACUUCAGGUGAGCUUGUUUUGUAACCACCUUGGGAGCCAAAAGCUUUGGGCAGUUCUUGUCAAACAUCAUCUUCUCAUUGCAUUAACCCUGCUGCCAGUGAAGCAAUGCUGUGUUCAGCAAAUCUGAGUACAUCUGAGUAGCAAGAGUACAUCUGGAUUGUGUUCAUGUUAAAGGGAAAAACUUCAUGUAGAACAUUAAAAACUUCAUGUAAAGCAAGCAUCAUCAUCCAAAUGAGGCUUAGUUUCCAUUUCAAGUUGUAGAUCUAGAACUUUGUUAAUGAUCUCUUACUCUAGACUUGUCUGUGUGGCAGCAGAAAGCAAAGGGUUAGUCCAGUCCUCAGCUGAAGUUGUGGGACCUGUACAGAGGAUUACUUUCUUCUUGAAGAAACCAGAAAAGGCGUUUCCGAGAAUGCCGGGGUUGCUUUUGCGUCAGCUUCUUCCCGGGGUCUGCAGAGGUGAAUACAGGGAUCUGCAUUCCUGUAGCAUUCUUCUAAGAACACAAACAGCCAAAGCAGGUGUCUAAAAGGUUGUGCACUAUUUUUGGGAGAAAUCUGAUCAAUGUUGAUAGGCUGUUCAGACUCUGGCUAUAACCUCCUGUCAGAUUAUCGUGCCAAGGGCGGCUCUAAAGCUUCCGUCUCAGUUUCAGAUGGUGUCCGAUGUGAAGGGCAUUUGUA